rnacentral:ncRNA from 1 species
UUUCAAGUAUUGAAGAGAUUGCAGUAGUGUUAUCAUUCCCUGUCAAGAGAGCUAGCGUGUGGUGAGAGCUAGUCAUAAUGUAUAACAUGAAUUACGUUCUUGGAGCUUGGACGUUUACGUCGCGUUAAGACGGAUGAGAGGAAGAGUAAUGCUCUUCAAGCUGGGUGGUACCGCGUUAUUUUUACGAUAGCGUCCCUGCA